rnacentral:lncRNA from 1 species
ACUUGGUAUGAAUAGGAUUUAAUAAAUUGAUGGUUAACAAAAAGGUAUUUGGACUAGCUAUAGUAAACUAUGGAUAGCCUGCCAUAGGCAAGAACAUCACAAUAUAGCUACCUCACCAUAAGUAGGAAUAUGGCAUUGUGGAUAGCCUACCAUGGAUAGGAAUAUAGCAUUAUGGACAACCCACCAUGGGUAGGAAUAUGGUAUUGUAGAUAGUCCUUUCAUCAACA